AUUGAACGCUGGCGGAAUGCUUUACACAUGCAAGUCGAACGGCAGCACGGACUUCGGUCUGGUGGCGAGUGGCGAACGGGUGAGUAAUGUAUCGGAACGUGCCCAGUCGUGGGGGAUAACGUAGUGAAAAUUACGCUAAUACCGCACACGAUCUAUGGAUGAAAGCGGGGGAUCGCAAGACCUCGCGCGAUUGGAGCGGCCGAUAUCAGAUUAGGUAGUUGGUGGGGUAAAGGCCCACCAAGCCAACGAUCUGUAGCUGGUCUGAGAGGACGACCAGCCACACUGGAACUGAGACACGGUCCAGACUCCUACGGGAGGCAGCAGUGGGGAAUUUUGGACAAUGGGCGAAAGCCUGAUCCUGCCAUUCCGCGUGCAGGAUGAAGGCCCUCGGGUUGUAAACUGCUUUUGUACAGAACGAAAAGGUUUCUACUAAUACUAGGAGCUCAUGACGGUACUGUAAGAAUAAGCACCGGCUAACUACGUGCCAGCCGCCGCGGUAA
rnacentral:rRNA from 1 species